AUACGGAGGGUGCAAGCGUUACUCGGAAUCACUGGGCGUAAAGCGCGCGCAGGCGGCUAUUUAAGUUGGAUGUGAAAGCCUACGGCUCAACCGUAGAACUGCAUCCAAAACUAUCUAGCUAGAGUGUGGAGAGGAGGAUGGAAUUAGUUGUGUAGGGGUAAAAUCCGUAGAGAUAACUAGGAAUACCAAAAGCGAAGGCAAUCUUCUGGAACACUACUGACGCUGAGGCGCGAAAGCGUGGGGAGCAAACAGGAUUAGAAACCCUAGUAGUCC
rnacentral:rRNA from 1 species